CUAAGGAAACAAUUAUCAUCUUCAGUUUUGAGAGACUUAAGAAAGUUUUUCAUUGUAAAUUGCUUGCAAAUUGUAUUUGCAACAUUUUAAUCUUUUUAAGAUUAAGGGCCUAUAGCUCAGUUGGUUAGAGCACACGCCUGAUAAGCGUGAGGUCGGUGGUUCAAGUCCAUUUAGGCCCACCAUAACCACAAAUAGGCAAAAUCUUAAAAAAGCUCUUUGAAAAGUAGAUAAACGAAGGUUAAAAAAUC
rnacentral:misc_RNA from 2 species